rnacentral:rRNA from 1 species
AGAGUCUGGCGGCAUGCCUAAUACAUGCAAAUCGAACGAAGCCUUUUUGGCUUAGUGGUGAACGGGUGAGUAACACGUAUCCAAUCUACCCUUAAGAUUGGGAUAACUAGUCGAAAGAUUAGCUAAUACCGAAUAAUGACAUUCUUUUGCAUGAAAGAAUGUAGAAAGUUGCGUUUGCAACGCUUUUGGAUGAGGGUGCGACGUAUCAGAUAGUUGGUGGGGUAACGGCUCACCAAGUCAUUGACGCGUAGCUGUACUGAGAGGUAGAACAGCCACAAUGGGACUGAGACACGGCCCAUACUCCUACGGGAGGCAGCAGUAGGGAAUUUUUCACAAUGGGCGAAAGCCUUAUGAAGCAAUGCCGCGUGAACGAUGAAGGUCUAUAAGAUUGUAAAGUUCUUUUAUUUGGGAAGAACCACUAAAAUAGGAAAUGAUUUUAGUCUGACUGUACCAUUUGAAUAAGUAUCGGCUAACUAUGUGCCAGCAGCCGCGGUAAUACAUAGGAUGCAAGCGUUAUCCGGAUUUACUGGGCGUAAAACGAGCGCAGGCGGAUUUGUAAGUUUGGUAUGAAAUCUAGAUGCUUAACGUCUAGCUGUAUCAAAAACUACGAAUCUAGAGUGUAGCAGAGAGUUGGGGAACUCCAUGUGGAGCGGUAAAAUGCGUAGAUAUAUGGAAGAACACCGGUGGCGAAGGCGCCAACUUGGACUAUUACUGACGCUUAGGCUCGAAAGUGUGGGGGAGCAAAUAGGAUUAGAUACCCUAGUAGUCCACACCGU